UACGAAGGGGACUAGCGUUGUUCGGAAUACUGGGCGUAAAGCGCACGUAGGCGGAUUUGUAAGUCAGGGGUGAAAUCCCGGGGCUCAACCUCGGAACUGCCUUUGAUACUGCAAAUCUCGAGUCCGAUAGAGGUGGGUGGAAUUCCUAGUGUAGAGGUGAAAUUCGUAGAUAUUCGGAAGGAACACCAGUGGCGAAGGCGGCUCACUGGCUCGAUACUGACGCUGAGGCACGAAAGCGUGGGGAGCAAACAGG
rnacentral:rRNA from 1 species